rnacentral:ncRNA from 1 species
GUGCAGCACUACGGGCGCUUGUGUGUCACUUCCUCGCCCUUCAUCCACCUGGUCAGAUGCCAUCUACCAGAGAUGAGCGAGUUUCAAGUGCUGACACAAUGCUGAGAUUGUACCGUUAAAACUCGAUCAAGUUAAUGCUUGCGUGGGAAACGUGCUGCCGCUUCUCC